GACAGCUAAGGAGACUGCAGAUUUCUCAGGAUGAUAGGACGGAUACACAGAAGCAGCGAGGUUGUCUUUAGGUGCUUACUCACCGGGAUGACUGACAUCCUGCCUUCCUUUGAAAUACGAUGAGGAACCUUGUUUGGUGUUGGAAAGAGAGCAGACCCAGGGCUUUAAGCACCUGCCCUUCUCAGACUUGGGAUCCCAGCCUCCCCCGUGGAACUUGGCCUGAGCCGGCAGCCUUCCGGGACACGCCUUCCUCGCAGCUCCCCCUGCCCGCCCCGCCCUCUGCGCACCUGCCCUGCGGCGGUCUGGGGUCUGCCCUCUCCGCCUGGCUGGACUGCGCAGUCUCAGAACUCACUGGAGGAGGUGCUUGAAGCCCUGUUUGUGCUGCUUAUUUUCGGGGUCCCGCCCCUCAUCCGGGCCCUUCCUGGGUGUUCUCCUGAAAUGCAGGAGAACGCCCAGUGGGCAGGGGGCAGAGCAAGCCUAGUGCCGCCUUCCUUCCCUCCCCGACAGGCGACCGAAGGACGCCAGGCCCCCAUUACAAAGCAUGGGCUGCAUCCAGAGAUGAGCGGCUCCCAGGGAGCGGAGGCCACAGCCCUUCUUUGCACUGCAGGGUCCCGGGUGCACCGUGGGCCUGGAGCCGAGAGGGCACCUCUGCUGCUGGGCACUAUCCUUCUAGAGCCUUCUGGCUGUCCUGACCAAGGCUCUGUGACAUGGACAGCUGGCCUGGACACACCCUAGAUGGGAACCAUCCCUACUGGAGUUGUGAGGCUUCCGGCCCCUUCUGGACGUUGUGCUACUUGGGGCAGGACGGUGGCCUUCAAAAACCUUCAAAAUUAGCAUUAUGUGUUCAUGCAACUAUCUGGGAAAGCAUUUGGCAUUGCCAGGGAAUAGUGAAGCCGUGCCUACCCCAUAGUCCAGCGGCUUCCUCCACGUACAGACCCUGGAGGAACGCGUGCACCAGGGAACAGUGCACCAGGGUGUGGGACACACGUCUCCACCGCAGCAUUGCCACUGGUAGCCCCAAACGGGGGAUGCCCCGGUGUCCACUCGCCGAAUGAACAAAGCAAACGUGAUAUGGUCACGUGAGGGAAUACCACCCAGCAACGAACACGGAUGAACUUCAGUUAUACGUGAUGUGGCUGAUCUCACCAGCAAUGGUGCACAACAGGAGCCAGAAGAAGGACAAGGAAAACGUAAUCGAAUAGGCCGGGAGGGUGGUUACUUUCAGGGGAAGGGAGGUGAUUGAGAGGGAGGAGAGGCACCCCUGGGGCUUUUACAUCCUGACCUGGGGCUUCAUGGAACCGCGGUUCUUUUCACCGUAAAUAUGUUUUGUGCUCUCUUCUGUAUGUACCUGUCGUAAUAAAAAAAUACGAGAGGGGUG